CCUACGGGUGGCAGCAGUGAGGAAUAUUGGUCAAUGGGCGGGAGCCUGAACCAGCCAAGUCGCGUGAGGGACGACGGUCCUAUGGAUUGUAAACCUCUUUUGUCGGGGAACAAAGGCGUCCACGGGUGGGCGGAUGAGUGUACCCGAAGAAAAAGCCUCGGCUAACUCCGUGCCAGCAGCCGCGGUAAUACGGAGGAUGCGAGCGUUAUCCGGAUUUAUUGGGUUUAAAGGGUGCGUAGGCGGACUGUCAAGUCAGCGGUAAAAAUGCGGUGCUCAACGCCGUACAGCCGUUGAAACUGGUGGUCUUGAGUGGGCGAGAAGUAUGCGGAAUGCGUGGUGUAGCGGUGAAAUGCAUAGAUAUCACGAGGAACCCCGAUUGCGAAGGCAGCCUGCCGGGGUGCGACUGACGCUGAGGCUCGAAGGUGCGGGUAUCAAACAGGAUUAGAUACCCUUGUAGUC
rnacentral:rRNA from 1 species